rnacentral:rRNA from 1 species
GGCGUAAGCGCGCGUAGGCCGUUGAGUUAGUUAAUUGUGAAAUCCCAAAGCUUAACUUUGGAACUGCAAUUAAAACUGCUCGACUAGAGUUUGAUAGAGGAAAGCGGAAUACAUAGUGUAGAGGUGAAAUUCGUAGAUAUUAUGUAGAACACCAGUUGCGAAGGCGGCUUUCUGGAUCAACACUGACGCUGAGGCGCGAAAGUAUGGGUAGCAAAGAGGAUUAGAUACCCUCGUAGUCCAUACCAUAAACGAUGAUUGCUAGAUGUUGGAAAUUUAUUUUCAGUAUCGCAGCUAACGCAUUAAGCAAUCCGCCUGGGGAGUACGACCGCAAGGUUAAAACUCAAAUGAAUUGACGGGGACCCGCACAAGCGGUGGAGCAUGUGGUUUAAUUCGAAGAUACGCGCAGAACCUUACCAACCCUUGACAUGUCUGUCGCGAGUUUAGGAAACUAGACUUUUCGGUUCGGCCGGACAGAACACAGGUGCUGCAUGGCUGUCGUCAGCUCGUGUCGUGAGAUGUUGGGUUAAGUCCCGCAACGAGCGCAACCCCUACUUUUAGUUGCCAUCAGGUCAUGCUGGGCACUCUGAAAGAACUGCCAGUGAUAAGCUGGAGGAAGGUGGGGAUGACGUCAAGUCCUCAUG